AAAAUAUUUCAAUAGUAAAAAAUAUGUUAAUUUAACGUGUUAAAAUUUAAAAAUAAAUUUUAAUUAUGACAUGCAUUUAACAUUUAUAUAAAUAUAUAUCAUAGCCUAAAUAUAAAUAAUUUAACAACUUAAAUUAGAAAAAGUAAAAAUCCCGGGCGUAGCCCGGGUUAAUCCCUAGUACAAUACUAAAAGUUGGAUAUAAUCAACAUAGAAGCUAUCCACGUCAUUAAAAAAAAUUAACCAAUGAGAAUGCACAAUUCCUUUCAAAUCUGCCAUGUCAUUUAUCACUGAAUCGGGCUAAGUGUAUUGGGCUGUAAUGUAUUUUAUGUGGCCAAUUCACAGACAAAACCAUCUCUAAGCCCAAACAAAAUAUCAGACCAAACACGUUCUAAGUUCACUUCGUCUUCCCAAAAACUAAAAACCUUAUUGUUUUUGUGUCUCACCGUUACUUUGUAGUUAAGUCCAUCCAGGUCCUUCGAUCAAUUUUCUUCUUCGCCAUUCCUUUAAUCCUCAUUGAUUUGAUCGUUCUAACUUCAUGUGUCCCUCUUAUAUACCUCUUUUGACUCUUUCCUUCACGCUCAUUCAAGGAAAUCCAUAAAACAAACUCAUGCAAUGGCAACUCAAUCGGCAAAAUAUCUCUCCGGUGUGUUUUCUCUGAUCAUCAAACAUUCACCGUAAACGCCGCUGCUUCUCACUAGCUGACUGCUCGAAUCAUCGUAUGUAUUCCGUUACUCCGCCCUGUGCGUAUAGCUUAAUUUCUCUUUAAUUGUAAUUGAUGUAAAAAUUGUAGUUAAGACCAUAAGAUGGUAAACGUUUAGAAACUGUAACUUUCUGAGUCGGCAGAUUGCGUUUUUAUGGGUUCCUUGAUAAGAUCAAAGCCUUUAAAUGGUGAUUGAUUCAUAAGCUUUGUGUUAGAAACUGUUAAGUCACUAACUUAGGUGUGAUCUGUUGGUAACACCAAAUGGAAAACUCUCACUUGAAGACAGCACAAGAUCAAGUUGCUAAAGGUGGCUACUCGAUUAUUCUCAAGCCUGAGGAUAGUAGCAGUGCAGCUUGGUUCACUACAAGAACUGUUGAAAGCUAGGUUUUGUUCCUGAGCAACCCAGAUGUCGUAGAACGUGUUUACACUAUGGGAACUGAGAUAACAAACAUGGCUUAAGUAAAUUGUAUCCAGAACAAUUGGGCAAUAAAUGUUGUAAGUAAGCUAUGGUUUUUAUAUAUACUCUUUUGUUGAAUUGAAAGUUUUAACUUGGAAUGUAUCAGCAAGUGGAUGAUGAUCAAACUUAUCAGAGAGUACAAAAGGUAUGCUAUAAUGAUGCCGACAGUUUUUUUUAAUUCGAAUUACUAAGAUUUUGUUUGCCCCCUUGGCCCUUGAUCUUAACAUUUAACCAAUAUUUGAGAAUAUGGAUUAGGUACCAGGCUAUUGCUACGGCUCAACGAGAAGAAAGUUAUUGCCCACGAGUUUAGUUAGAACCAAAAUGUUUUCUGGAAUUGAAGGGGUUUUCUUCUCAACUUUUUCUCUGUAGGAAACAAUUAACUCCAUCUUCUUCCAUCUUUGAAUCUUAGCUUGGGCUAGAGAAGGUAAAUCAGUUUUACUGGACAAUUUAUUUUAAAGUUUUUGCUUCCACAUUGAAGACUCUCCAGCUUACAUAAGGAAUAAUAAGUUUGUCUUGCCGUGUGUUGAAAAAUAUAAUAUCUCUCUCUCUCAUCUAAUGUGCCUUAAUUGAUAUGAUGUACAAGGUACAUGACAGAGACACUUGGGAUUAGCCAAGAAAAUCAAGAAUGGGACGUCAAAAACUGUUCUUGAGAAAGUAGAAGAGGCGAGGGCUGCUGCAUUAUCUGCUCUUAAGGAGCACAUGAAUGUCCAAACUUUAACACGGUAAAGACAUAGAAAAAUCAGGUGCUGCCUUGGCCGUAUAAUCAGAUGUUAACUUGACCGAUCCAAUUCCUAAUAGAAAACAAUCCCAGUUUGUCUAGAAUUUGUUUACAUAUAUGAUUGCUCGCUUCUUCUGCUACAUGCUUGGUAUUACAAAUAAUUAUACCAUGGGUAAUAUAUAAAUAAUUUGGAACGUGCCGUUCAAAUAUGCAACACCGAUCCAAUUCCUAAUUUUCAUCCUACAUGAACAAUAAGCAAAAAUAGACAAACAAAAAAAAAAAAGAAAAUUACAAAAGAUAGUGAUGAUGACUACAAUGUGUGUGUAUAUAUUUUUGUGUAAAAUUCUUUCUUGAAAUUAAGUUGAUCUUUAUUUAGCAAAUCACAUGGGUUGUGGACAUGAUAAGUAACAACUAAAUUUAGUUUGGCCUUCCAAAUCAACUGAAGACUAAUUUAUGAAGUUAUUUAUAGUUAAAUAACAACUAAAUACAACAGUUUCUAAGUUUAUGAAAAAUUAGCCCAACAAAUUAGAUUGUAUCCUAUGAUAUAAAAAAGAAUUUAAAAUACAUUUACAACCAAAAAGGAAAAAAUAAAAGCCAGUAGUAAAAAAAAUGUUUAUUUAACAAGUGACGAUGAGGAGGACGAUGCCAAUUAAUAUGUUGGUUUGUACUUCCUUUUAAGGAUAGAAGACCUAUAAACGUGAACUCAGUAAUUCUAAAACCAUAACAAUGGUUAAAUCAUUUGUAAAUUUAUCAAUUAUUUUACAUAAAAAUGAUCGAAAUAAAAUAGAUUCUGAACAUUACUAAAGUUUAAUAACUGUCAGUCCAUUUUUCUGACCAACUAUAUAAAGUUUCCAAUGUAAAAAAGAACACAACAAAUUGUGAGUUUUAACCAUUUGAAUUCAUUGAAAAACAAUAAAUACAUAAAAUGAAUUUAGAUUUUUUUUCUAUUAUUUUGUAAUUUCUGAUAGAUUCUAAUGUACUUUUACAAAUACAAAUGUUAAGUUAUAAAUUAUAAAACUAUAGAAAAAACAAAAAAAAAUAUAGAAGAAAACCCGGGCGUAGCCCGGGAUAAUCCCUAGUUUAUCUAAUGCCAAUAAACAAACUUCAAAAAAUUAGUUGAAUGGACUUCGGUACGCCGGAUACCCCUGAUUAUAAAAAAACAGUUACAUGUCAAAGAUAUCACAAACAAUCCCUAUAGCAUUUCGGAACAAUUCCAUCCCCCAUACCAUUUCGGAACAGUUCCAUCACUAUUGGGUUUAAAAUGGGAUCCCAUGAUUUCAAAUAUUCGGUCAGCACUAGGUUUUAUUAUUCUUUUAAUUCUUACUCAGUUCUUGUUAAUUGCAUUUUUAAUUGGACUACUAUCUGAUAAAUAAGCCCUUAAAGCAUGUCCAAUGGUUAGAGCCCAUUAAAGGUUCUAAUGAUUAGUUUAAUAAUUAAUUGUAUAAUUUGUGAAGUUUAGAAUUAGAACCUUUACUAAUGUAAUUUAAUUUAGCAUGGUCCAAUAGAAGAACCUUUUUGAGGUUCUUAAUUUUUUGUUUUCUAAGUUGAAUGAUUGGUUUUAAAAUUUAAACAAAUAUGACAUAAUAUGAAAUCUUAGUGAAAUUGGUGAAGAGAAACAAAAGGAAAAAAAAAGGAAGAGAAAUAGUAAGCACAAUGUGAUUUUCAUUACACCAUAUGUCAUAUUUUUAACUUAUAAAGGGAAGAGAAACGUUGAUUUAGUGACUAACAAUACUUCAAUAGGUAGCUUACAAAACAUUAGCCAACGAGGAAGGAAUCUUUUCGGUUUAUACAAAACAUUAUUAGCCCAUCAACAUUUAUACAAAACACAAUAGACAACUUUGAUCCUAAAGAGAGUGUUCUUUACAUUA